rnacentral:siRNA from 1 species
AAAUAAAAGCUUAUCUGCCGCCG